rnacentral:rRNA from 1 species
AUACAGAGGGUGCAAACGUUGUUCGGAAUCACUGGGCAUAAAGCGUACGUAGGCGGUUUGUUAAGUGUGAAGUGAAGGCCCACGGCUCACCCGUGGAACUGCUUUGCAUACUGGCAAACUCGAGGACGGUAGGGGAGAGCGGAACUCUUGGUGGAGCGGUGAAAUGCGUAGAUAUCAAGGGGAACACCGAUGGCGAAGGCAGCUCUCUGGUCCGUUUCUGACGCUGAGGUACGAAAGCUAGGGUAGCGAACGGGAUUAGAUACCCCAGUAGUCC